CCAUUUCUUGGUUUAAUCCGUUUCCCAAUUCCUGUAUACUCAAAGUUCUUUUUAUUUUUAAUUUUUCUUUUGUGGUUGAAGAAUCCAAAAACUGUUUUCAAUAACCAAUAUUUUAAGGAUUUCAGGAUUUAAAAAGUUCUGCAUAAAUUCAAGUCUAGCUUUUGGCUUGGCAAACACAGAAUGAAGAAAUGAACAUGCAUCGAUCAACAAUCUAAGAAAAUAGAAUUGUGCUGAAAAGGAGAGGAACAGUUUUCAAGUGAUAUUACUUUUUACGUUUUACACCUUCUGUUUGCUCUAUAGUUUGGAAUCUGGAUCAUUCAUUACAACAACUUCAAGUGCCUCUGUACUCAAUUGGACCGAUUAGGAGUGGACUGCCUUCUCUGUAAUAAAAAGUUUCUGGUCAAGUGAACAUUUGUGGGGGUGAACUUCUUUAGCAUAUUUCAAGAAGUUUAUCUUCAGACGAAGGAUCAACGUGUAUCCUUUUUGUUUAAAUUUUUACCAUUCAAGGUAUCAUAUCCAGUGCCAUUCAGACUUCUUGUAGUUGAGGCAAAGGGUUGGUUGGAUAGCACAUAUCUCAAGAAGAAAUAAGGGAACAACAUUUGUUCUGCAAAGAGAGCUGAACUUAGGCAAAGACUAUUGUCAAUCAUGUCUACGGAUACGAGAGUUAAAGAGGUAAUCGAGGAGUUUAUCUUCUUAAAUCAAAAUAUAGGUGAAUCGGAAUUUCAAGAAGGGGAAUGGCAAAUGGUUUGGAGUUCACAGUAGUUCCCAGACAAAAGUAUUGUGAAUCCAUACACAAAACUGUCAAAAGAAAGACAAGGACAAUGAUGGUUCGAAAUGUGGCUAUUGGCAGUGAGCAUCCCCUAAGGAUUCAAACAAUCACAACAAAUGACACAAAGGAUGUAUCUGCCACAGUUGAAGAGGUGUCAAGCUUAGUGAUGCUUCAGAGAAGUUAGGGAGAAGUUUGUUACUGGAGCUUUUGUUGUUAAGCAACAGCCCCUCAAAUAAGCUGCCAAACGAGCUGUUUCCCGCCGCCAAGCAUGCAAGUUGGUGUGAAGUAGCUGGUUUGGCCAAACCCUUUUCACAGAAACACAUAUAGUCUUAUGGAAUCCAUUUUGGAAAUGCAAAGGCCAAGUCUAACCAUUUUUAGCUAAAUACACAUCUGGUCAAGAUACCAGAUUUUGGAAUGUAUAAAAGAACUCUUUAGCUAUAUAAUCCAUCAAUGUUUAUAA